rnacentral:rRNA from 1 species
UGGGGAAUUUUGGACAAUGGGGGAAACCCUGAUCCAGCCAUCCCGCGUGUGCGAUGAAGGCCUUCGGGUUGUAAAGCACUUUUGGCAGGAAAGAAACGUCAUGGGUUAAUACCCCGUGAAACUGACGGUACCUGCAGAAUAAGCACCGGCUAACUACGUGCCAGCAGCCGCGGUAAUACGUAGGGUGCAAGCGUUAAUCGGAAUUACUGGGCGUAAAGCGUGCGCAGUCGGUUCGGAAAGAAAGAUGUGAAAUCCCAAAGCUCAACUUUGGAACUGCAUUUUUAACUACCGGGCUAGAGUGUGUCAGAGGGAGGUGGAAUUCCGCGUGUAGCAGUGAAAUGCGUAGAUAUGCGGAGGAACACCGAUGGCGAAGGCAGCCUCCUGGGAUAACACUGACGCUCAUGCACGAAAGCGUGGGGAGCAAACAGG